rfam:Steinernema glaseri strain NC unplaced genomic scaffold GLAS_6257, whole genome shotgun sequence.
GCCCCUUUAGCUCAGCCGGCUGAGCGUUAGACUUUUAAUCUAACGGCCGGGGGCG